UGUUUCAUUGGUUUCAUUGCAUGUCCAUGUUAUUCUUUUUGGUUUUUCAUUCUAGUCACAAUUACCUUAAUAGCUGAUAAAUCAGUUUUAAGAAACAACAACUCCAAAUCUGGAUCUCCAAAUAUUGUGAUUUUUUUGUGAUCAUGGUCAAUUUAUAUGUUGUUUUUGGGAACAUGGUUUGUGUGAUAAAGUAGGCCUACUGUUAAUUAAAUCAGAAUAUCAUUUAUGUGCCAUACAAACACAUUUUAAUAGCAAUUGUAAUGUUCUUUUCACAUUGUUUCAGUCUGACAAACUAACUGUAACUGUCAUUUUGUCCACAUAAUUAACAUGUAUGAAAAGUGUUUUUUUCAACACAUAAUGAAAUAAAUUGUUAAGCAAAUAUCAA